rnacentral:rRNA from 1 species
UGGGGAAUAUUGGGCAAUGGGCGAAAGCCUGACCCAGCAACGCCGCGUGAAGGAAGAAGGCUUUCGGGUUGUAAACUUCUUUUAAGAGGGAAGAGCAGAAGACGGUACCUCUUGAAUAAGCCACGGCUAACUACGUGCCAGCAGCCGCGGUAAUACGUAGGUGGCAAGCGUUGUCCGGAUUUACUGGGUGUAAAGGGCGUGCAGCCGGGCUGACAAGUCAGAUGUGAAAUCCCGCGGCUUAACCGCGGAACUGCAUUUGAAACUGUUGGUCUUGAGUAUCGGAGAGGCAGGCGGAAUUCCUAGUGUAGCGGUGAAAUGCGUAGAUAUUAGGAGGAACACCAGUGGCGAAGGCGGCCUGCUGGACGACAACUGACGGUGAGGCGCGAAAGCGUGGGGAGCA